rnacentral:lncRNA from 1 species
GGCCGGGCCCAAGGCCACGGGCAGUGACAGGCGUCGCUCGGGUGUGCAGCACGAGGCCGAGGACGACGACGACGACGACGAAAUGGUGGUGCCACCGCACGAGAUGGCUGCGCGCCGCGCCGCCGCGGCGCGGCGUCGGUGAUGGAGGGCGCCGGGCGGACGUUGAAAGGGCGCGACCUCCGGCGCGUGCGCAACGCGGUGUGGCGCACCACCGGCUUCCUUGACCUGUGAAAAAGGAUGCACCUUUGGAGGUUUCGCUCGCUGCCCACGCAUCACCAUACGAACCACGCAGCUGUUCCUAGCAAUCUGCUUCGUGUUGUACUGAUCAGUAGACAAAAAGUGGGGGUUUUCUUGCUAAUAAAUUCAGAGUUGUAGGGGCAAUGUUAUGAUGGCUAUUUGUUAUUUGUAGAAGUGUCGACGAGAAGUUCUACGUUUUCCCUUGAAGAAAACUAGUACUCCAUUGGUUAUGAAGCAAUUAACGGCAGUGCGCUGCAAUUGUUUCAGAAUCUUUGCAAUUUUCUGCUGGAAAUAAGGUAUAGUACUUUACAAAGCAUCUUAGGAAAGAUUUCAGCUUUGUAAAUGGUUCUAGGCAGCUAAAUUUGCUGGGUGCCAAGGCAUGUGUGCUGUUUUGUAAGUAUAUCAUCACUGUGAUUAACACAAGUGAUUUUUCAACCAAAAACAGAAAUGAUAUUCUAGAGUUGUAUUAACAUACUUCAUUGUGAUAUCAGUUAGCCAAUCAGUUGUGUUCAUAAAUAAAUCAAUUGUGCUCCAUGAAUAAUUAAAAUAGCUUUUUUUCUGUGGUUAAUUGGAUUGUCA